rnacentral:rRNA from 1 species
AUUGAACGCUGGCGGAAUGCUUUACACAUGCAAGUCGAACGGCAGCAUAGGUGCUUGCACCUGAUGGCGAGUGGCGAACGGGUGAGUAAUACAUCGGAACGUGCCCAGUCGUGGGGGAUAACGUAGCGAAAGUUACGCUAAUAACGCAUACGAUCUAAGGAUGAAAGCGGGGGACCGUAAGGCCUUGCGCGAUUGGAGCGGCCGAUGUCAGAUUAGGUAGUUGGUGAGGUAAAGGCUCACCAAGCCGACAAUCUGUAGCUGGACUGAGAGGACGAGCAGCCGCACUGGGACUGAGACACGGGCCAACAUCCUACGGGAGGCAGCAGUGGGGAAUUUUGGACAAUGGACGCAAGUCUGAUCCAGCCAUUCCGCGUGAAGGACGAGGGCCUUCGGGUUGUAAACUGCUUUUGUACGGAACGAAAAAGCUCUACUAAUACUAGAAGUCCAUGACGGUACCGUAAGAAUAAGCACCGGCUAACUACGUGCCAGCAGCCGCCGUAA